UAUAUAUAUAUAGGUAAAAGUUCAGGUGUGAACUUUAGGUAAGGUGUGCACGUGUGCACUUAUACCAGCCGUGCGAGAGGGAAACAGCCCGGAUCACUAGCUAAGGCCCCUAAAUGACCGCUCAGUGCUAAAUAGCAGGUAGGGGUGCAGAGACAACCAGGAGGUUUGCCUAGAAGCAGCCACCCUUGAAAGAGUGCGUAAUAGCUCACUGAUCGAGCGCUCUUGCGCCGAAGAUGCACGGGGCUAAGCGAUCUGCUGAAGCUAUGGGAUGUAAAAAGACAUCGGUAGGGGAGCGUUCCGCCUUAGUGAAGCCUCCGCGCGAGCAGGUGUGGACGAAGCGGAAGCA
rnacentral:ncRNA from 1 species